UACGUAGGGUGCGAGCGUUCAUCGGAAUUACUGGGCGUAAAGUGUGCGCAGGCGGCCGAGCAAGUCGAGUGUGAAAGCCCCGAGCUUAACUUGGGAAUUGCGCUCGAAACUACUUGGCUGGAGUGUGGCAGAGGAAGGUGGAAUUCCAGGUGUAGCGGUGAAAUGCGUAGAGAUCUGGAGGAACACCGAUGGCGAAGGCAGCCUUCUGGGCCAACACUGACGCUCAUGCACGAAAGCGUGGGGAGCAAACAGG
rnacentral:rRNA from 1 species